rnacentral:rRNA from 1 species
UACGAAGGGAGCUAGCGUUGUUCGGAAUCACUGGGCGUAAAGCGCACGUAGGCGGAUGUGUCAGUCAGGGGUGAAAUCCUGGAGCUCAACUCCAGAACUGCCUUUGAUACUGGCGAUCUUGAGUUCGGGAGAGGUGAGUGGAACUGCGAGUGUAGAGGUGAAAUUCGUAGAUAUUCGCAAGAACACCAGUGGCGAAGGCGGCUCACUGGCCCGAUACUGACGCUGAGGUGCGAAAGCGUGGGGAGCAAACAGG